rnacentral:rRNA from 1 species
AACGAACGCUGGCGGCAGGCUUAACACAUGCAAGUCGAGCGAGACCUUCGGGUCUAGCGGCGGACGGGUGAGUAACGCGUGGGAACGUGCCCUUCUCUACGGAAUAGCCCCGGGAAACUGGGAGUAAUACCGUAUACGCCCUUUGGGGGAAAGAUUUAUCGGAGAAGGAUCGGCCCGCGUUGGAUUAGGUAGUUGGUGGGGUAAUGGCCCACCAAGCCGACGAUCCAUAGCUGGUUUGAGAGGAUGAUCAGCCACACUGGGACUGAGACACGGCCCAGACUCCUACGGGAGGCAGCAGUGGGGAAUCUUAGACAAUGGGGGCAACCCUGAUCUAGCCAUGCCGCGUGAGUGAUGAAGGCCUUAGGGUUGUAAAGCUCUUUAAGCUGGGAAGAUAAUGACGGUACCAGCAGAAGAAGCCCCGGCUAACUCCGUG